rnacentral:rRNA from 1 species
UGGGUAGUCCGCACGAGCGCACCUUGUCCUUAGUUGCCAGCAUUAAGUUGGGCACUCUAAGGAGACUGCCGGUGACAAACCGGAGGAAGGUGGGGACGACGUCAAGUCAUCAUGGCCCUUACGUGUAGGGCUACACACGUGCUACAAUGGCAUUUACAGAGGGAAGCAAGACAGUGAUGUGGAGCGGACCCCUUAAAGAAUGUCGUAGUCCGGAUUGGAGUCUGCAACUCGACUCCAUGAAGCCGGAAUCGCUAGUAAUCGCAGGUCAGAAUACUGCGGUGAAUACGUUCCCGGGCCUUGUACACACCGCCCGUCACACCAUGGGAGUGGGAUGCAAAAGAAGUAGUUAGUCUAACCUUCGGGAGGACGAUUACCACUUUGUGUUUCAUGACUGGGGUGAAGUCGUAACAAGGUAACCCUAGGGGAACCUGGGGUUGGAUCACCUCCUU